rnacentral:rRNA from 1 species
GAUGAACGCUGGCGGCGUGCCUAAUACAUGCAAGUCGAGCGAACAGACGAGGAGCUUGCUCCUCUGACGUUAGCGGCGGACGGGUGAGUAACACGUGGAUAACCUACCUAUAAGACUGGGAUAACUUCGGGAAACCGGAGCUAAUACCGGAUAAUAUAUUGAACCGCAUGGUUCAAUAGUGAAAGACGGUUUUGCUGUCACUUAUAGAUGGAUCCGCGCCGCAUUAGCUAGUUGGUAAGGUAACGGCUUACCAAGGCGACGAUGCGUAGCCGACCUGAGAGGGGGAUCGGCCACACUGGAACUGAGACACGGUCCAGACUCCGACGGGAGGCAGCAGUAGGGAAUCUUCCGAAAUGGGCGAAAGCCUGACGGAGCAACGCCGCGUGAGUGAUGAAGGUCUUCGGAUCGUAAAACGCUGUUAUUAGGGAAGAACAAAUGUGUAAGUAACUAUGCACGUCUUGACGGUACCUAAGCAGAAGGCCACGGCUAACUACGU